AACGAACGCUGGCGGCGUGGAUUAGGCAUGCAAGUCGAACGAGAAAGGUUCCUUCGGGAACCGAGUACAGUGGCAAACGGGUGAGUAACGCGUGGGAAACCUGCCCUCUGGUUGGGGACAACACCUCUAACGGGGUGCUAAUACCGAAUAUGAUCGCGAAAUCGCAUGGUUUCGUGAUUAAAGGCGGCCUCUACUUGUAAGCUAUCGCCAGAGGAUGGUCCCGCGUCCCAUUAGUUAGUUGGUGAGGUAACGGCCCACCAAGACGAAGAUGGGUAGCCGGCCUUAGCGGGUGACCGGCCACACUGGGACUGAGAUACGGCCCAGACUCCUACGGGAGGCAGCAGUCGAGAGGCAUCCACAAUGGGGGAAACCCUGAUGGUGCGACGCCGCGUGGGUGAUGAAGGUCUUCGGAUCGUAAAGCCCUUUCAGCAAGGACGAUAGGAUAGAUUGUUAAUAGCAUUCGAUCUCAGACGGUACUGCA
rnacentral:rRNA from 1 species